rnacentral:rRNA from 1 species
UACGUAGGGGGCUAGCGUUGUCCGGAUUUAUUGGGCGUAAAGAGCGUGUAGGCGGCCUAGUAGGUCUGCUGUGAAAACUCGAGGCUCAACCUCGAGCUGUCGGCGGAAACCACUUGGCUAGAGUCCGGAAGAGGAGAGUGGAAUUCCUGGUGUAGCGGUGAAAUGCGCAGAUAUCAGGAAGAACACCUAUGGCGAAGGCAGCUCUCUGGGACGGUACUGACGCUGAGACGCGAAAGCGUGGGGAGCGAACAGGG